GCCUAACACAUGCAAGUCGAGCGGCAGCACAAGGGAGUUUACUUCUGAGGUGGCGAGCGGCGGACGGGUGAGUAAUGCCUAGGGAUCUGCCCAGUCGAGGGGGAUAACAGUUGGAAACGACUGCUAAUACCGCAUACGCCCUACGGGGGAAAGGAGGGGACCUUCGGGCCUUCCGCGAUUGGAUGAACCUAGGUGGGAUUAGCUAGUUGGUGAGGUAAUGGCUCACCAAGGCGACGAUCCCUAGCUGUUCUGAGAGGAUGAUCAGCCACACUGGGACUGAGACACGGCCCAGACUCCUACGGGAGGCAGCAGUGGGGAAUAUUGCACAAUGGGGGAAACCCUGAUGCAGCCAUGCCGCGUGUGUGAAGAAGGCCUUCGGGUUGUAAAGCACUUUCAGUAGGGAGGAAAGGGUGUAGUUUAAUACGCUGUAUCUGUGACGUUACCUACAGAAGAAGGACCGGCUAACUCCGUGCCAGCAGCCGCGGUAAUACGGAGGGUCCGAGCGUUAAUCGGAAUUACUGGGCGUAAAGCGUGCGCAGGCGGUUUGUUAAGCGAGAUGUGAAAGCCCUGGGCUCAACCUAGGAAUAGCAUUUCGAACUGGCGAACUAGAGUCUUGUAGAGGGGGGUAGAAUUCCAGGUGUAGCGGUGAAAUGCGUAGAGAUCUGGAGGAAUACCGGUGGCGAAGGCGGCCCCCUGGACAAAGACUGACGCUCAUGCACGAAAAGCGUGGGGAGCAAACAGGAUUAGAUACCCUGGUAGUCCACGCCGUAAACGAUGUCUACUCGGAGUUUGGUGUCUUGAACACUGGGCUCUCAAGCUAACGCAUUAAGUAGACCGCCUGGGGAGUACGGCCGCAAGGUUAAAACUCAAAUGAUUUGACGGGGCCCGCACAAGCGGUGGAGCAUGUGGUUUAAUUCGAUGCAACGCGAAGAACCUUACCUACUCUUGACAUCCACGGAAUUUUCUAGAGAUAGCUUAGUGCCUUCGGGAACUGUGAGACAGGUGCUGCAUGCUGUCGUCACUCGUGUUGUGAAAUGUUGGGUUAAGUCCCGCACGAGCGCACCCUUAUCCUAUUUGCCAGCACGUAAUGGUGGACUCUAGGGAGACUGGCCGUGAUAACCGAGGAGUGGACGAACGUCAAGUCUAUCAUGCCUACGAGUAGCUACGCUGCUACAUGGCAGUACAGAGUGCAAAGCGCAAGGACUAUCCUAGCUGUCGAGUUCCGAUGGGAUACUGCAUCGACACGUA
rnacentral:rRNA from 1 species